rnacentral:lncRNA from 1 species
CGUGCUGGGUCUCUAGCCCUUGCCUGGUGUGGGUUUGGCGCCCUGCCCCCAACCCAGGGGGUGGAACUACCUCUCCCAGCAGCUUCCCUCUUCCCCUGGCAGAAUGGCGUGCGAGCUCUUCCUCCUCUCCUCCCUCUGGUUCCUCUUCCUCAUCUUCUGGAUGGAGACCAUCAGCCUCUGGCUCUUCCUGUGCAACUUCUACCAGGACCGAGCCUUCUACCACUGGGGGGAGCGGGGGUUGGUCUCUGACCCAGGCCAUGUGCUCUACAUCUUCGUCAGGUGAGAACUUGCUGGUUCCAGGCCGCGCCUGGCAGCCCAGCGCUGGGCCUGGCCGGCCGCCAACCUGCUCCCAGCACAGCGGCUGGGGAAGACGAGCACACAGCUGGUCCCCGGCUGGCUGGAGGACGUGAGUUCAGAGGUGGGGAUCCCAGGGUAGGAGGCACCUGCUGCCGCCCCCACCAGGCUCAGAACUCAGUCAGGCACCGUGUUGAACCCUGGCCGGUGAGGGACCCGUCUGUGCAGCUGGCAGAGCAAACGGAGCCAGGGCAUCAGGGGCUAGGACUUGCGGCCAGCUGCUGGAGCAUGGGAGGGGCACGUGGCCCGUCCCCACCCCACAUUCGGAGGGACGGAGGCAGCACUGGUGCUGCAGGCCAUGCAGGCCUCCAGUGAUUCCACCCCCUGGCCCGGGGAAAAUGUGGAGCUAGCUGCCGGGGGAGGCACAAAGCCGUUAACCAGCCCCUCUGUGGGGGUGCAGGCCACUGUGCUGGGUCCACACUGUUAGAGCAGCCUUGGGGCUGCUCUCAGUUCUGCUCUAGCUGAGGAGGGGACAUGGCCUUGCAGUGCAGCCUGGACACCUCCAUGAGCCUGGGGCUCCUGUGUAAAUAAACAGCUUCAGCAGCAGCCUGUUUCCA